rnacentral:rRNA from 1 species
GACGAAGGGGGCUAACGUUGUUCGGAAUUACUGGGCGUAAAGGGCGCGUAGGCGGCACUGUUAGUCAGGCGUGAAAUUCCUGGGCUCAACCUGGGGGCUGCGUUUGAUACGUAUUGUCUGGAGUUCGGAAGAGGGUCGUGGAAUUCCCAGUGUAGAGGUGAAAUUCGUAGAUAUUGGGAAGAACACCGGUGGCGAAGGCGGCGACCUGGUCCGAUACUGACGCUGAGGCGCGAAAGCGUGGGGAGCAAACAGGAUUGAGAUAC